CCCUGAUCCAGCAAUGCCGCGUGAAUGAAGAAGGCCUUAGGGUUGUAAAAUUCUUUUGUUCGUGAAGAUAAUGACGGUAGCGGACGAAUAAGCCCUGGCUAACUCUGUGCCAGCAGCCGCGGUAAUA
rnacentral:rRNA from 1 species